rnacentral:rRNA from 1 species
AGCUCCAAUAGCGUAUAUUAAAAUUGUUGCAGUUAAAAAGCUCGUAGUUGGAUUUCUGGUUUGGUGCGCGCGGUCCGCCUCCCUUCGUGGGUCAGGUGUGUACCGUUGUGCGCCUGCCAUCUUCGCGGACGGGCGUGCGGGUCCUUCACUGGGCUCGUGCGAUUCCCCGCUCUGCGUCUUUUACUUUGAAAAAAUUAGAGUGUUCAAAGCAGGCUUGCGCUAUGAAUACAUUAGCAUGGAAUAAUAAUCUAGGACUUCUGUUCUAUUUUGUUGGUUUCUAGGGUGGAAGUAAUGAUUGAUAGGGAUAGUUGGGGGUGCUAGUAUUCAGCGGCCAGAGGUGAAAUUCUUGGAUUCGCUGAAGACUAACUUAUGCGAAAGCAUUCACCAAGGAUGUCUUCU